GAUGAACGCUGGCGGCGUGCCUAAUACAUGCAAGUCGAGCGAACAGACGAGGAGCUUGCUCCUUUGACGUUAGCGGCGGACGGGUGAGUAACACGUGGGUAACCUACCUAUAAGACUGGGAUAACUUCGGGAAACCGGAGCUAAUACCGGAUAAUAUUUCGAACCGCAUGGUUCGAUAGUGAAAGAUGGCUUUGCUAUCACUUAUAGAUGGACCUGCGCCGUAUUAGCUAGUUGGUAAGGUAACGGCUUACCAAGGCAACGAUACGUAGCCGACCUGAGAGGGUGAGCGCCCACACUGGAGCGGAGACGCGCACCAGCCUCCUGGGGGAGGCAGCAGAGGGGAUUCUCCCGCAAGGGGCGAAAGCCUGACGGAGCAACCCGGCGUGAGUGAUAAAGUUCUUGGGAUCGAAAACCUUUUUUAUGGGGAAAAAACAACCGUGUAAUAAACUGUGCCCGUCUUGAGGUUACUUAAUAAAAAACCCCCGGCAACCUACGUC
rnacentral:rRNA from 1 species